rnacentral:rRNA from 1 species
CAUGCAGUCGAGCGGGGAAGAGUAGCUUGCUACUUUACCUAGCGGCGGACGGGUGAGUAAUGCUUAGGAAUCUGCCUAUUAGUGGGGGACAACAUCUCGAAAGGGAUGCUAAUACCGCAUACGUCCUACGGGAGAAAGCAGGGGACCUUCGGGCCUUGCGCUAAUAGAUGAGCCUAAGUCGGAUUAGCUAGUUGGUGGGGUAAAGGCCUACCAAGGCGACGAUCUGUAGCGGGUCUGAGAGGAUGAUCCGCCACACUGGGACUGAGACACGGCCCAGACUCCUACGGGAGGCAGCAGUGGGGAAUAUUGGACAAUGGGGGGAACCCUGAUCCAGCCG